CAACAGCUAGAGUUUGAUCCUGGCUCAGGACGAACGCUGGCGGCGUGCUUAACACAUGCAAGUCGACGGGGUAUGCGAGGAGCUUGCUUUGAGCAUACUUAAGUGGCGGACGGGUGAGUAACGCGUGAGGAUCUGUCCUAUACAGGGGGACAACAGAUGGAAACGUCUGCUAAUACCGCAUAAGCCUAAGGGUAAAAGGAGAGAUUCGGUAUAGGAGGAACUCGCGUCCUAUCAGCUGGUAGGUGAGGUAACGGCUCACCUAGGCGAAGACGGGUAGCCGGCCUGAGAGGGCGAACGGCCACACUGGAACUGAGAUACGGUCCAGACUCCUACGGGAGGCAGCAGUGGGGAAUAUUGGGCAAUGGGGGAAACCCUGACCCAGCGACGUCGCGUGAGUGAAGAAAUCCCUCGGGAUGUAAAGCUCUGUUGUACGGGAAGAGAAGCAGACGGUACCGUACGAGGAAGCCCCGGCAAACUACGUGCC
rnacentral:rRNA from 1 species